UACGUAGGUGGCAAGCGUUGUCCGGAUUUACUGGGCGUAAAGAGCGCGCAGGCGGUCGUUCAAGUCGCGUGUGAAAGCCCCCGGCUCAACUGGGGAGGGUCACGCGAUACUGAUCGACUCGAAGGCAGGAGAGGGAAGUGGAAUUCCCGGUGUAGUGGUGAAAUGCGUAGAUAUCGGGAGGAACACCAGUGGCGAAGGCGGAUCUCUGGGCCUUGCCUGACGCUGAGGCACGAAAGCGUGGGGAGCAAACAGG
rnacentral:rRNA from 1 species